CUCUGGAAGAGAGAGCGAGGCUGACAACUUUACUCAACUUUGCCCCACUUAAAUCCAACUCAUGUCAAAAUUGAUACAUCACCCUGGAAUUUCACUGGUCUUCUUUGGAAAUGAAGGACAAACAACAACAAUGUGCCUUUUCCCAGGUUGUCCCCCAUCCCUGGAAUGCAGUGCAGACUCUCCUCAGCUUAGUAGGACUCCUAGUUUCCUUCAAAGAAUUACAACAUUUCAGAGCUGGAAGGGAUUUCAGGCCACUAUUCCAACCUACAUGAGCAUUCCCUCCACAAUAUUUCCUAACAAGUGCUUCAAUUUGAAGGCUACCAAUGACAGGAGAGCCACCACCUUCCAGGACAGCCCUUCCUACUUUACGAGAGCUCCAGAGGCUACUUCUCCAUCUGUACUUCCUUCAGUGGAUCCUCCUAUGACUGAACUCAAGGCCCUGCCUGUCCUCCUCUGGAUGCUGUACAACUUAUCAAUGAUUUUCCUGAACUGUGGGGCUCAGAACUCCAUACAAGACUCCAAAUUCUCCAUCUUCCAUGCCAAUCCUCUCUACAACAUGCCAAAUAAUUGGGCAUCCAGCAUCUACUUGAAUGCCAAAGUGAUGAGCAAUUCUCUAACUCACAAGCCAACACAUUCCAUUUCCACACAACUGUAAUAAUUAGAAAUGUCUUCCUUACUGAUUGAGAUAAAACUCUACCCACCCAUUGCUUCUAACAUUGCCUGCUGAGGAUAAACAGAACAAAUCUAAUUCUUCCUCCAGACCAUGAACAUUCAAAGAUUUAAACCAAUCAAUCCAUCAUUUGUCAAACAUUGAGCAUGUGCCAAGUAUCCUACUAGGCAAUGAGAAGACAAAGGAUCAGAGGAAACAGUGCAAGCCCUCAAGGAGAUUAUAGUCUCUUGGGAGAGACUACAGGUGCAUAUAGAAGGACAUACAAAAUGGAUACAUAAAUGUAAGAUAACUUGAGGGGAAAGGCACUGGCACUCGGGGGCUGGGGAAAAUUAGGAAAGGCUGUAUAUCGACAUUGGAAUUUGAGCUCUUGCCUUCAAAGAAACUAGGGAUUAUCAGAGGCAGAGGACAGGAUGGAGAGCAUUUCAGACAUGAUGGAUGGCCUGUGCAGAAUCACAGAGAGGAGAUACAACAUCUUGUGUGAGGAAAAGCAAGGACAAUGUGGCUGGACCAUAGAGAGCAUAAAGGGGAGGAACAUAUAAUAAAGUUAGAAAGAUUGAUUUGGGCCUUAUUGGGAUGAAUUUCAAGUGCCAAAUAGAGCAAUUUAUAUUUCAAUCCAAAGGUAAUAGGGAGCCGCUGGAAUUUAUGGAGCAGAGGCAGCGAUGUGGCCAGAACUGUGCAUUAGGAGGAUCACUCUGGCAGUUGUGUAAAGGACAGAUUAGAGAAGGGAUAGAAUUAAGGUAGGGUGGUCUAAGCUAGGCCUGACUCAGGCCAGUCCCUUGGUAGCGUAGGUUUAAUACCAGAAGAGAUGGGGCACCCAUAGGUCAGUCAGCAUUUCAGAGGAGGACAUUUACUUAGAGAUACUGUUUCUGCAAUAUAGCCUUUGACACACUCAUUACUUAGGAUUUCAUUGUUGUCUCCAUUUGAGCCUUUGUCCCUACUUUGUUGUUCCUGAACUGAUUGUUUUAUUGUGUUUUGGUCUGUGAAGGAUCUAGUUACUAUUUCUGCAUUUUUUCAUUUGUCGGCAAUAUCUCAGAGCCUUUAUACAUGGCACAGUGUUAGAAAACCCCCAAGCCAUUCUGAGAUAGCGGUUUUUCAAAAAAACAGGCCCAUUUCAAAGGCACCGUAAGUCCUUUUGCUCUAAUUUCUCCAAUAAUUUAUUCAUUUCUGUAUUCUUCUUUGUUUGUCUUUCCUUUAUACUUAUCUGAAGCUGAGAGGACUUGGAAAUUUCUUGCCACUGUUGUGUUACUGUUUAUGACUUCUUUUAGGUCAGUUAAUGUUUCUUUCAUGAACGUAGAUGAAUGUAUUUGGAGCAGAGAAGUUGAAUGUUGACCUUGGUUUAUUGCCUAUGGUUUCUUUCAGUCUAAUGUGGUUUCUCUGAUUAUAACUUUUAAUGUUUUGAUGAUUUGCUUUUACUUUCUCAUAGAGCAGGAUUGUAACUACUGCUUUUAUAGGUUCACAGGAUGCAUAGCAAAUGUGUAGGCCCUCUUUUUCUUCUGGAUAUCUUUUUUUAAUGUUUCUUUUA